CAAGACUUUCCCCGAGAGGAAGGGGAUGUGGGGAGGCUCCCUUCGGAAGCAAAAGGUCCCAGCGAACAGCGAGGGCACAAAAGGGUCCCCCGCGCGGCGCUCCGCACCCGCUCUUGGUUCCCCGGGCGGUUCCCGGGGCGAGGGGUGGGGUAGAAAGUGUGAAAAGCCCCGCCGGCGCCGGAAAGCGCGUCCGGGGGCCUCUGCAACGGCGCCCGGCCCUUCGGGACCUGCGAGCUCUGAGGGGCCCCGCGGGCCUCGCGGCGGACAGCGAAAGCGAGUCCCGAGGUCUUCCUUGUGUACACCCAGGAAGCCAGGCUUCACCGAUGACAAAGGGAAGACCCCGUUUGCUCCCCUUGUUCAGCCUCACUCCAUUCCUCAGGAAGUGAUCCCACAGGGCAAGCUUUGCCCUAUUCCAGCAAAUCUCUGGCCACUUGAUAAUGAGAAAAACUAGUGUUUGAGUGUGGAUAUCACCAUCAGUGUUCGACUUCAAUACUGACUAUAAUACUUGAAUGACUCAAUGCAUUGAAACUCUUUUUUGAUGAAAGUUUUAAAUGUAUAUUUCCAUUUAAUAAAUAUUUGUUUGAGAAUGUUAUGUGCCA
rnacentral:lncRNA from 1 species